rnacentral:rRNA from 1 species
CCUACGGGAGGCAGCAGUGAGGAAUAUUGGUCAAUGGGCGUAAGCCUGAACCAGCCAAGUCGCGUGAGGGAUGAAGGUUCUAUGGAUCGUAAACCUCUUUUAUAAGGGAAUAAAGUGCGGGACGUGUCCCGGUUUGGAUGUACCUUAUGAAUAAGGAUCGGCUAACUCCGUGCCAGCAGCCGCGGUAAUACGGAGGAUCCGAGCGUUAUCCGGAUUUAUUGGGUUUAAAGGGUGCGUAGGCGGGCUUUUAAGUCAGCGGUGAAAGUCGGGGGCUCAACCCGAGAAUCGCAGUUGAAACUGGGAGGCUUGAGUAUGUGAGAGGCAGGCGGAAUGCGUGGUGUAGCGGUGAAAUGCGUAGAUAGCAAGCAGAACCCCGAUUGCGAAGGCAGCCUGCCGGGCCAUGACUGACGCUGAGGCACGAAGGCGUGGGGAUCAAACAGGAUUAGAUACCCGAGUAGUC